rnacentral:rRNA from 1 species
AAAUUGAAGAGUUUGAUCAUGGCUCAGAUUGAACGCUGGCGGCAGGCCUAACACAUGCAAGUCGAACGGUAACAGGAAGCAGCUUGCUGCUUCGCUGACGAGUGGCGGACGGGUGAGUAAUGUCUGGGAAACUGCCUGAUGGAGGGGGAUAACUACUGGAAACGGUAGCUAAUACCGCAUAACGUCGCAAGACCAAAGAGGGGGACCUUCGGGCCUCUUGCCAUCGGAUGUGCCCAGAUGGGAUUAGCUUGUUGGUGGGGUAACGGCUCACCAAGGCGACGAUCCCUAGCUGGUCUGAGAGGAUGACCAGCCACACUGGAACUGAGACACGGUCCAGACUCCUACGGGAGGCAGCAGUGGGGAAUAUUGCACAAUGGGCGCAAGCCUGAUGCAGCCAUGCCGCGUGUAUGAAGAAGGCCUUCGGGUUGUAAAGUACUUUCAGCGGGGAGGAAGGGAGUAAAGUUAAUACCUUUGCUCAUUGACGUUACCCGCAGAAGAAGCACCGGCUAACUCCGUGCCAGCAGCCGCGGUAAUACGGAGGGUGCAAGCGUUAAUCGGAAUUACUGGGCGUAAAGCGCACGCAGGCGGUUUGUUAAGUCAGAUGUGAAAUCCCCGGGCUCAACCUUGGGAACUGCAUCUGAUACUGGCAAGCUUGAGUCUCGUAGAGGGGGGUAGAAUUCCAGGUGUAGCGGUGAAAUGCGUAGAGAUCUGGAGGAAUACCGGUGGCGAAGGCGGCCCCCUGGACGAAGACUGACGCUCAGGUGCGAAAGCGUGGGGAGCAAACAGGAUUAGAUACCCUGGUAGUCCACGCCGUAAACGAUGUCGACUUGGAGGUUGUGCCCUUGAGGCGUGGCUUCCGGAGCUAACGCGUUAAGUCGACCGCCUGGGGAGUACGGCCGCAAGGUUAAAACUCAAAUGAAUUGACGGGGGCCCGCACAAGCGGUGGAGCAUGUGGUUUAAUUCGAUGCAACGCGAAGAACCUUACCUGGUCUUGACAUCCACAGAACUUUCCAGAGAUGGAUUGGUGCCUUCGGGAACUGUGAGACAGGUGCUGCAUGGCUGUCGUCAGCUCGUGUUGUGAAAUGUUGGGUUAAGUCCCGCAACGAGCGCAACCCUUAUCCUUUGUUGCCAGCGGUCCGGCCGGGAACUCAAAGGAGACUGCCAGUGAUAAACUGGAGGAAGGUGGGGAUGACGUCAAGUCAUCAUGGCCCUUACGACCAGGGCUACACACGUGCUACAAUGGCGCAUACAAAGAGAAGCGACCUCGCGAGAGCAAGCGGACCUCAUAAAGUGCGUCGUAGUCCGGAUUGGAGUCUGCAACUCGACUCCAUGAAGUCGGAAUCGCUAGUAAUCGUGGAUCAGAAUGCCACGGUGAAUACGUUCCCGGGCCUUGUACACACCGCCCGUCACACCAUGGGAGUGGGUUGCAAAAGAAGUAGGUAGCUUAACCUUCGGGAGGGCGCUUACCACUUUGUGAUUCAUGACUGGGGUGAAGUCGUAACAAGGUAACCGUAGGGGAACCUGCGGUUGGAUCACCUCCUUACCUUAAAGAAGC